GACUAAGAUUUUUGUAACGUUGCUUGUUG
rnacentral:piRNA from 1 species